GUAGGUGGCAAGCGUUGUCCGGAAUUAUUGGGCGUAAAGCGCGCGCAGGCGGUUCUUUAAGUCUGAUGUGAAAGCCCACGGGCUCAACCGUGGAGGGUCAUUGGAAACUGGGGAACUUGAGUACAGAAGAGGAAAGCGGAAUUCCACGUGUAGCGGUGAAAUGCGUAGAGAUGUGGAGGAACACCAGUGGCGAAGGCGGCUUUCUGGUCUGUAACUGACGCUGAGGCGCGAAAGCGUGGGAGCAAACAGGAUUAGAUACCCUGGUAGUCCACGCCGUAAACGAUGAGUGCUAAGUGUUAGGGGGUUUCCGCCCCUUAGUGCUGCAGCUAACGCAUUAAGCACUCCGCCUGGGGAGUACGGCCGCAAAGGCUG
rnacentral:rRNA from 1 species